CCUACGGGCGGCAGCAGUGGGGAAUAUUGGACAAUGGGGGGAACCCUGAUCCAGCCAUGCCGCGUGUGUGAAGAAGGCCCUCGGGUUGUAAAGCACUUUCAGUGAGGAAGAACGCCUGGUGGUUAAUACCCAUCAGGAAAGACAUCACUCACAGAAGAAGCACCGGCUAACUCCGUGCCAGCAGCCGCGGUAAUACGGAGGGUGCGAGCGUUAAUCGGAAUUACUGGGCGUAAAGCGCGCGUAGGUGGCUUGAUAAGCCGGUUGUGAAAGCCCCGGGCUCAACCUGGGAACGGCAUCCGGAACUGUCAAGCUAGAGUGCAGGAGAGGUAGGUAGAAUUCCCGGUGUAGCGGUGAAAUGCGUAGAGAUCGGGAGGAAUACCAGUGGCGAAGGCGGCCUUCUGGACUGACACUGACACUGAGGUGCGAAAGCGUGGGUAGCAAACAGGAUUAGAUACCCUUGUAGUC
rnacentral:rRNA from 1 species